rnacentral:lncRNA from 1 species
AGGCGAGGCGCUGCAAAGCGUUUGGGAUUGGAGCGGGCUUUUCUCCGCUAUCCCCCACAGAGCGGGAAGCGGUGCUACCCCGCACGUGAGACGGGAGGGCUUUGCUGCCAGGAGAGACACGCAGCUCAGCCUCUGGGAGCGCCUCUCCAGAAAACGGCAGGAUAAGAUUUAUUUUAUUUUAUUUAUUUUUCCCUCCGUGUAAUAGCAGGGCUGGGGAAGGCCGGAUGUGGUGGUGAUUUACGGGAGACGAGAAACGUCUGGGUGCCUCCCUGCCCGGUGAGCGGUGUGCAAGCAACAGUGAGCAAAGCAGAACAGGAAAGGUGGAUAUGGAGCAAGGAGGUUCAGGAGGAUGUGUAUGUGAGCACUGAGUCAGCUGGCUACCGCACAGAGAAGCUGUUCCUUGCCUGACCUUUGCCACUGAGUUCUUCUGAAAUGGCAUCAGUGACAGGCUUCUCUACCUAAAUGCUCUAAAUCCCUGAGAGAGAGAGAUAUCUUUGUGGAUCCCAAACUGUAUUAUCAAAAAUCAACCUUUCUCAACCCUGUGAAGACACAGAUGUGCCAGAAAUGCUGAAUGGAUUGGAAAAGGCAGAGCAGGCACCAGCCAGCCUGCAGUGGUUUUUGACCACUUCUAAACAGAUUGGUGUCAGUAACCAAAGACCUGCAAUUUACAGAGCAAAGGGUAGGGCGGAAUGAUUCAA